rnacentral:rRNA from 1 species
CUUGGUCAUUUAGAGGAAGUAAAAGUCGUAACAAGGUUUCCGUAGGUGAACCUGCGGAAGGAUCAUUAUUGAAAAUAAACCUGAUGGGGUUGCUGCUGGCUCUCCAGGGAGCAUGUGCACGCCUUGUCAUCUUUAUAUCUCCACCUGUGCACCUUUUGUAGACAUCCUUUCCAGGUUGUCUAUGUUUGAUUCUUCAUGUGCCCCAAAUAAAAAUGUAUGUCAAUAGAAUGUUGUGAUAAAUAAAAUCUAUACAACUUUCAGCAACGGAUCUCUUGGCUCUCGCAUCGAUGAAGAACGCAGCGAAAUGCGAUAAGUAAUGUGAAUUGCAGAAUUCAGUGAAUCAUCGAAUCUUUGAACGCACCUUGCGCUCCUUGGUAUUCCGAGGAGCAUGCCUGUUUGAGUGUCAUUAAUAUUAUAUAUCAAACCUCUGUGUUUGGAUGUGGGGGUUGCUGGCCUCUUUGAAAGAGGUCAGCUCUCCUGAAAUGCAUUAGCAGAACAACCUGUUUCGUUCAUUGGUGUGAUAACUAUCUACGCUAUAGAACCGUGAAGGCAGUUCAGCUUUCUAACUGUCCUUUGGGACAAUUCAUUAUCUAUGUGACCUCAAAUCAGGUAGGACUACCCGCUGAACUUAAGCAUAUCAAUAAGCGGAGGAAAAGAAACUAACAAGGAUUCCCCUAGUAACUGCGAGUGAAGCGGGAAAAGCUCAAAUUUAAAAUCUGGCGGUCGUUUGGCUGUCCGAGUUGUAAUCUAGAGAAGUGUUAUCCGCGCUGGACCGUGUACAAGUCUCCUG